rnacentral:rRNA from 1 species
UACGUAGGGGGCAAGCGUUGUCCGGAUUUAUUGGGCGUAAAGCGCACGCAGGCGGUCUGGUAAGUUUUGAGUGACAGGUGGCGGCUUAACUGCCACAGGCCUUGAAAAACUGCUGGACUUGAGGGCAAGAGAGGGACGCGGAAUUCCAGGUGGAGCGGUGAAAUGCGUAGAGAUCUGGAAGAACGCCAAAGGCGAAGGCAGCGUCCUGGUUUGUUACUGACGCUCAAGUGCGAAAGCUAGGGGAGCGAACGGG